AGUGAACGCUGGCGGCAGGCCUAACACAUGCAAGUCGAACGGUAGCACAGAGGAGCUUGCUCCUUGGGUGACGAGUGGCGGACGGGUGAGGAAUACAUCGGAAUCUACCCUGUCGUGGGGGAUAACGGAGGGAAACUUACGCUAAUACCGCAUACGAACUGAGGUUGAAAGCAGGGGACCGCAAGGCCUUGCGCGAUUCGCUGAGCCGAUGUCCGAUUAGCUAGUUGGUAAGGUAAAGGCUUACCAAGGCGACGAUCGGUAGCUGGUCUGAGAGGAUGAUCAGCCACACUGGAACUGAGACACGGUCCAGACUCCUACGGGAGGCAGCAGUGGGGAAUAUUGGACAAUGGGCGCAAGCCUGAUCCAGCCAUGCCGCGUGUGUGAAGAAGGCCUUCGGGCUGUAAAGCACUUUUGUUGGGAAAGAAAAGCGGUCGGUUAAUACCCGGUCGUACUGACGGUACCCAAAGAAUAAGCACCGGCUAACUUCGUGCCAGCAGCCGCGGUAACAC
rnacentral:rRNA from 1 species